UACGAAGGGGGCUAGCGUUGUUCGGAAUUACUGGGCGUAAAGGGCGCGUAGGCGGACUGUUAAGUCAGGGGUGAAAUCCCGGGGCUCAACCCCGGAACUGCCUUUGAUACUGGCGGUCUUGAGUUCGGGAGAGGUGAGUGGUAUUCCGAGUGUAGAGGUGAAAUUCGUAGAUAUUCGGAGGAACACCAGUGGCGAAGGCGGCUCACUGGCCCGAUACUGACGCUGAGGCGCGAAAGCGUGGGGAGCAAACAGG
rnacentral:rRNA from 1 species